AUUAAUAUAAUAAAAAGUGUUAUGUAGAUAAAUAACCAAUAAUUUGAUAUUCUACAGGUUGGAAAGUUAUUUUUCAAGACCCCGAGGAAGUGUGAGGUGUAUGGAAUUAGCUGUGAAGGAUCUGGAAAGCAGGUGUUUUACCUCGCAGACGAAGGCCAGUCACAUGGUAAAGGUGCAAAUGCUGUGGUCAACCAGGUUCACCACUACCUCAACACAUACGGUCUUGGCGAACAGCGUGCUCACUUUCAGUGUGACAACUGUUGCGGCCAAAAUAAAAACAACAUAGUCAUCUGGUACCUUCUGUGGAGAGUUCUUGUAGAAACUCAAUGCAGAAAUGUUGUCUGAUGUCGCUGCAUCUGUGGGG